rnacentral:lncRNA from 1 species
CCGACAAGUUUAUUACAAAUCUUAAUCAGGGAGAUGGGGAAGGGGAGGACAGAUGAUUUAGGGUGAUAGGGAAGGGAAGGCGGGUGAUAGAAAAGAUAGAAAGAGGCAAGAAUUGCGUAAAGCGGGGAUAGUCACCACCAGGAUCCAGCAACUGUGAUAGGUAAGGGUUAAGUUUGUUAGUCAAAUCAAAACUCAGUGGUGCUAUCUCAGGUCUCCGGGAAUGUAAAUAGUGUUGUAAAAUGUAAAUAGUGUUGUAAACGACGGAAACUAAGAAGCUGCAGGCCCGGGGCACAUAAGCUGCUAGAAAAUAACCAAAGAAUAAUGGAAAAGACUACUGACUUUCAUCCCCACAACCAUCAGGAGGCAGGAAAAUGAAUCCCCCAGCAACAACCUGCGCAGCCGCAAGAAUGACUGGAAUGUAUGCAGGAGAUAAGAAUUGUAUACGUACAAGAAUGACUGGAAUGUAUACAGGAGAUAAGAAUAGUAUAAAUGCAGAGCCAAUCCUUUGUUCAAAUUGCGACCCUGGUGGAGUGUAAACUCCCCUCGGCCGCCCGCCCAGCGCUGUUUUGCUCACUUAACCGCCAUGCUUAAUUGAAUAAAGCUGUCCCUUUAUCGCACUAGACUUUGUCUGGUUUUGUCACAAGAAUCUACAACAAGGGAAGGCAGGCGAUAGAAAAGAUAGAAAGAGGCAAGAAUUGCGUAAAGCAGGGAUAGUCACCACCAGGAUCCAGCAACGGUCCCGUUGCACGACGUUCCGACGGUCCAGGGCAAAAGAGCAUGGGAAGAGCAGCAGUAGCGUGGCCAGUCUUGGGCAGCAAGAAUGUGCAGUUAUCAGGUAGGUUCAGGAAGAACUCCGGGAGGAAGAAGCAGGCCCUGGAGAGUCCGUCAGCAUGCAGACCUUCCUUAGUGAGGGAUCUGAUGGCAGACACCUUGGGGGGAGAGCAGUAGCAGAAGGCCAGCCUUAGGAAGCAAGCAGGUAGAGUGCAGAGCAAGUCCAGAAGGGAGCAAACAACAACUUCUUGUUCUUCAGCAUGCAGGUCUCGGGUCGCGAGGAAUCUGUCAGAAACCCUCUCUCUUCUUCAGCACGAGGAAUCUGUUGUCAGAAACACCUCUUCAUGAGGAAUCUGUAGUCAGAAACCUAAUCUUAUGGUUGUUCGUCCCUUUUUUAUCCUUCUGCCAACGUGGCAUUCCUGGGUGCUUGGGGAACAUUCAUGUGCAAAUACCCCCUGAGAUGGCUAUCUCCCUUGAGAUAAGCCCCCACAAAAGACUGCUUCCUGGCCAUUAAGCUCUGGCUUACCUCUCUCUCGUUGCCCUCGGCCUUGUCCAUCUGUGUCCCUCAGACAAAGGAUUUUGCACCCCCUGCCCAAGACUGGUCCACCUGUGUCCUCCAGACAAAGGACUUCUCAAACCUUGAUCAGGACUUGUUUGGACUUGUUCAUCUGUGACCCUCAGCAAGCUUUGAGACAAUGAUGCAAAACAAUAAUCCCUUACAAGCCCUGAAGAGCUCUGUGAAUAAAUACCAUGAUUCUCUGCAGAUCUGGUUGAAGACUCCUGUUAACAGCUUUCUUUCCCAUUCAUGGCACCACUGCCGUCAGGAUCCAAAGCCACAUUGGCUGAAGUUUCACUGAAACUUUGGUUUGACCAUGUGCCUUGACAGCAUUGACUCCAAAACUCUAACACUCCAUGCCUGGUGAUACUGAUCAGUGUUGAAUUGUAACAGAAAUGCUAAGUCAUGGUCUGAAACAGUGACUGAGUACCUGGUGGGAAAGCAGGACCAACCCAGAGGAACUCAGGUGCAUGCAAUGAACCUGAGUAACCAGAAGGAGUGCAUCCUGGCUCCACCCCUUCCCAGACCUCAUUUAAGGGUUGGAAGUGGAGGUGAGAGUGUUUUGCUGGAGAUCUUUCCCUAUCUGAGGCCUUCUGAAGGACCAGAAGAACAGAGGCAUUGGAAGCCAAGUCUGCACAACACAGAGUGGGACACAUGGAGAACCUUGCUAUACAGUACAUCUAGACUCUUUUCAGUAGUGCCCAGUACCAGGACAAGAAGUGAGCGAAAACUGGAACAUAGGAGUUUCCAUCUCAACUGUCAUCUAUGAUUCUGUGAUCUGGAAGAAAUUAUGAUACUUGCAGAAAUGGAAAAGCAGUGUUGAAAGAAAUCUUUUUCAAAAUCAAGAGUGGAGGAUUUAUCAGUCCAGACUCGGAGAAUAUAGUGCAUGUUGUCCAGCUGUCACAUCACAAAGCUGAGAAGAAGACAUGCAAAAUGAAGAUGUAGGCACAAAGGCUGAAGGCAGAUGGGACCUGUAGUGAACUGCUGUGCUUGUGUUUCUUUCUGUUACUAAAAGGAAUUUGUUACGCUAGUGAUUUUAAAUGAUUUGUGGCUGACAGUUUUAGGUUUAAUAAUAGUAAACCAGACAACAUCUGGCAUGGUGAAAUAAAAUUAUUUGAUAUGUAACUUAGCUCACACCCCCAACACACACACACAAAUGAAAAUUAAUGUGCAAAUAAGAAACUUUUUUUGAAGUACAUAUUGAGCCAUCAUUUUUAAUGGAUAACAGAAGAACAUGGGAUGAAGAUUUUUUCCUGAAGUUUUAUUACAUAAUUAAUCCAAAUUUCUUUGUGUAAUUUGGAAGCUUAUAAUGAGAACAGGUAUUAUUCCUCCCCAGAUAUUACCAUCUUUUAAAGAUUUUUUUUAAUAUUUGUGUUAGUAUUAUGGUUAUUUCUGCUUUAGUUCUUCUUCUGAUGCCUUCUUGAAUGGGCAGUGUCAAGGCCAUGUUCAACAAUGGCAAAUCACAAAAAAAUAUUUUUUUCAUAAAGUCAUAAAUUCCUCUUCAUGAACUGCAAAUGAGUCUGUACAUGAAAAUGUGGUGCUCAAAUUCAUUGAUAAUGAGAGUAUACCUCACUGGAGUUUUUACCAUAUUACCUAAAAUGAAUGCGUGCUUUAAGACGUGUGAUUGGCUGAAUGACUCUGUAUUUCUGUGUGGCUGUGUGCAUGAAUACACAUGCAUGUGUACAGUUAUUUUAACUGGGAAUGUAAAGGCUCUAGAGGUGAGUCCGAAAUAGCAUAGAAGUCUACUCUUAUUUUGAUUAAAUAAAAUAUUAUUGCUCACAAUAUCUGUGAAAGAUCUUAAAGGUUGCUUGAAGUCAUUUUUAAAUGUUGCGCAUAUUACUUAUUACACUCAACAAGCAUAGCUAAUUGGCAUAACUGAGUACAUGAAUAACAAUAUGUGGCUUAAAACUACAAAAGAAAAGGAAAUUAUAUUUAUUUCCUAUAAAUAAAAUAUUACCUACUAUGUAUUAUUUAUAUUACAUAAAUUUAAACAAUGUAUAAUACAUGAGGAUAAAUUUACUGUAUUUGGAGCAAAAUUAACUGAGCUGUCUCUGAGGACCUUUAUUAAUAUUGCAGAACCAGUAUUAUACUACUGUAUAAUUGAUUUUUGAAGACUAUUUUGCAUAUGUUUUCCUAAAUCACAUCACUUAAGCUAGAAAAUUUUACAUAUCAUGGGCCAGGCAGAUAACACCAUGACAAAGGUGUGUUGUGAAGCAUGAGACAAUGUACUUUAAAAUUC